rnacentral:rRNA from 1 species
CCUACGGGUGGCAGCAGUAAGGAAUAUUGGUCAAUGGGCGAAAGCCUGAACCAGCAACGUCGCGUGAAGGAUGAAGGCCCUAGGGGUCGUAAACCUCUUUUGUAGAGGAGUAAAUGCCGGUACGUGUCCCAUCAUGAAGGGCUAACGCCGUGACAGCAGCGGCGGUCACACGGCGGGUGCCGGCGUUACUCGGAAUUACUGGGCGUUAAGGGAGGGUAGGUGGGUUAUAAAGUUAGUUGAGAAAUCUUUUGGCUUAACCAUAGAACUGCAGUUGAAACUGGUAGUCUUGAGUAGGGGAGAGGUAGGCGGAAUGCGUGGUGUAGCGGUGAAAUGCGUAGAGAUCACGAAGAACCCUGAUUGCGAAGGCAGCCUGCUAGAGCCUUACUGACGCUGAUGCGCGAAAGUGUGGGGAUCAAACAGGAUUAGAUACCCGAGUAGUC